rnacentral:misc_RNA from 1 species
GAACUGCUUUAUCCUUUCAACUGACACCAUUCUAUUUUCUAAAAAGCAACUGAUCCAAAUUGUCCAAAACAACACAGCAUUGAGAGAAAGGCCAUAGGAAAGAGAGAGACCCACAUACUCUGGUUUGAUGAAAGUGCUUGGCAGCAUGAUCAUGAGAAGUGCUGAAAUACAGAGAACGAAACUCCCAAUGAGUUCUAACCGAAAUCCCAGCCACUCGUUAGCACCAU